CGUCAAGUUAGUUUUAUUAAAUGCUUUAGAAACCUUCAAGUUUCCUUAUAUAUCAUCUUAUUAAAUGUACAAUAUAAGAGGUAAAAACGAGUAGCAUGUAUCGCGGUUAUAAGAAGAUACAUACGAAGACGUAUAUAUACAAGGUGGUACCACUAGAAAAGCUGAUUAAUUCGCUUCGGGCGAAUUGGCACUGCUGUCAAAAAUUUGUUUGUGCAUUGCUAUGUAUAAUAUGUGUAGUCCACCUUCAGUUAGAAACGAUGUUCCACAAAAUGAACAAGGUUUAUGCAACUUGGUAUGGUAUGUGCAUAUGCUGUGGAAGGCGAUGUGCUUGUUUUCCUAUACUGAAAUCAACCAGCUUCAAUUGGGGGUUUCAUUACAAAUGGAUCACUUUGCCAAGAGGCACUUUGAAGGAAGAUGAACAUUUUAAAUCAAAUGAACUAAUUUAAUAUACGUAUUUGCGAACAAAUCCACUUUUAAUUUAUAAAUUGGCAAAUACUUUUCCCCUACAUAUAAACUUGUGUUCUCUUCAUAGCCACGUAUCUAUUUGUUAUACCAUUAUAACGCUAGUUUUGCGUAGUACAGAACGCCAACUUCAUAGUCAUAGUCAACAUCAAGUCUAUAAGCUAAGUAAAGAAAUUGAAAUAAAAAGGACAAACGUAGUUUGUAAACCUUUAAGCUUAAAUAAAACUUGCUAAUUUGACAUUUUAAUUAUAUCCUUUUCCAAUCUGUU